GAGCUUCCGAGUUGAAGUUCUUCUUGGAGGACCCUGAAAAUUUAUUCAUUCAUCCAGAGAGAGAGAGAGAGAGAUCGAAUAUUCAAAAUCUAAAAAAGGGGAGAAAGGUAUUGAUUAACUCUGGCUUUAUUCAUUUCUGCAAAUCUAGACCGAAAAUCCCAACCCUAGAAAAUAAGAAGAAGAAGAAGAAGAAGAAAGGGAGUGUUUUUUUGUAUGAAAGCUGUGAUUUUUGAAAUCUCUGAAGAACACUUCAUUUCGUGUACCCCAGCCAUUACCACGGAAGAUUUCAGCAAGAUCUUCGAAUUCCCAUUUCCCAAAACGCCAUCAGAAUUCAGGACGAUACGACCCGGAGAAGGAAUUCGUUGUUGAUUUGAUUCGGAAGAGUCAGCUGAAAGGAAAUGGCUUUUGUCCCUUUUCUCCACUGCAUUUCUUUCUGUUGUUCUCUUUAACAUCCGCCGCUUUUAGCUUCUCGGAACCCUUUCCGUUGAUCCUUCACAAACUGCUCGCCUGUUAUUGAAACAAAAAUUAUAUAUAUAUAAAACAAUAAGGAAUCGCUAAUCUUAUUCCCUCUAUUUGAAGCUUCAAGUUCAUUCUCUGCUCCUCACUCUCACGGAGCUGGUUACGGUGCUCGCCCAGGUAAAUCUACAUUUUUGUGUCUCGGUUUGGAGUUUGGACUCUCGGUUUUGAUUGUAAUAUCUCUGGCUAGUUUUUUCCCUUAUUCCUGCAUCAAUUCUUCAGUGCAAGAGACUUAGAGCCCUUGAUAAGGCAUCCUAAUGUUGUAACUUUGAAAGCUUACUACUGGUCUAUAGAUGAGAAGCUGCUCAUAUAUGAUUACAUUUCUGAUGGAAAUCUUUCCACUGCACUUCAUGGGAGGUCUGGAACAGAGUCAUUCACACCCCUAUCAUGGUCUGUUCGGCUAAAAAUCAUGAAAGGAAUUGCUAAAGGUUUGGUCUAUCUCCAUGGUCUGUUCAGCAACAAGAGCAUGCUUUCAAGUGUUAUUUGAAAUUGAGUUUGUUUUUAGUAUAUGUGAGCUGUGUUGUAACUCUUCUAAAUUU